AAUAUUGCACAAUGGGGGAAACCCUGAUGCCGCGACGCCGCGUGAGCGAAGAAGGCCUUCGGGUCGUUAAGCCCUUUCCUCAGGGAAGAACCGGACGGUACCUUAGGAGGAAGCCCCGGCCAACUACGCGCCAGCAGCCGCGGUAAUUCGCAGGGGGCGCGCGUUAUCCGGAAUUAUUGGGCGUAAAGGGGUCGUAGGCGGCCUUUUAAGUCAGAUGUGAAGGGAUACGGCUUAACCGUAGUUAGCAUUUGAAACUAAAAGGCUUGAGUGCAGGAGAGGAGAGUGGAAUUCCUAGUGUAGCGGUGAAAUGCGUAGAUAUUAGGAGGAACACCAGUGGCGAAGGCGACUCUCUGGACUGCAACUGACGCUGAGGCACGAAAGCGUGGGGAGCGAACA
rnacentral:rRNA from 1 species